AGAGUUAUUAAACAUAACUAAUUCCCUUGCUAGCCAGAAAAUGCCUCAUUUUGUGUAACCAUUAACUUUUGGAUUGUAUGAAGCAGUGUACCCACUGAUACAAGAUCCUGGAGACCAAAAGGAUGUAAGAGGUUUUGAAAAUUUACAGCUCUGUUCUGAAUGGGACUGAUGAGUCAGUUUAGACAUUUUGGGAAGAUGAGUUCCCAGCUGUACUGUGAUUAACCUCUGAUGUUACUGAUAUCUGCUGGAAAGAAUACAGAAACCUGGACUCCAACUAAGAAGUUAAUUCUUAACUUUUCCUCAGUUUUAAUCACUAUCAGACAAGAACAAAGUGUGCCAUGGAUGACAUUGCCAUGGAGAUGCAAAACAGAGGCACUGAAUUCAGGGAAUGACCACUAACAAGGAAGGAUGGGAGGAGAAAUGUGGAUAAGAUACUGGAACAGGACUAUGGAAUGGAAGUUGAUCCAAGCAGUGUCCUUCUCAGAGUGUCCAGAAGGGUCUGAGUAGCUGCCAGUUCCAGUGCUGGCCUUGAACCCGUGUAGUUUUCCAAGCUUGUGCAAAGCUGAAUACAAGACCAGAAGCCUGCAUUUCCCCAGCAUUAUAUUUCUGUCAUGAUACAAUCUUGUUUCCAAGAUUUUAAUCAGAAGAGAAACUACAAAUUUCUCCUUUUUGGUUCAUUACUACAGCCAGUUCAGAAAAUUGAGUUGGUGGUGGUUUCCUGGGACAUGAAGAGCUGCAACAACUGCAGAGGGCUAAGAAACCAUUUUCAUUCAUCUCUAUGGAACUGUAUCACAUAAGAGGUAGAAGGGGAGUGAAAGUAAAAGGGAUGUUUGCAGGCAGCAGCAAUCCCUGAUGUUGAGUCUUUCUGCAUUUUAAUUUUUGUAGAUAAAUGCCAAUAGCUAUACCUUGAUUGAUAAUUAAAAACAAAUCUUAGCAUUCCUAGCAAUGAGCAGGUCUGCCUACAAUGUUCGCUAUUAUUAACAUGUAUAUGGAGUUUAAUAAAGUUGUUUGUUUGAAUACUUGUUGUCAAGUUAUCUACGAGAAAACAAAUAUGAAAAAAAGAUUUUACUGAAGUAUUUUAAAG